GGCCCAGCGUGCCUUGUUUCAUUCUCACCCCAGCCCAGUGUGCCUACGUAGCUCCAUUUCCUAGAACAGGAAGCGGGAGAGACGUCGGGAGCUCCCAGGACCCCAGCCAUGGGUUGAUGACGCUGCACCCAGAGACUGGCCCUGCCUCCCUCCUCUCAUCGUCACACUUCGGUCCCGCCUGGGCCCCGGAUCUCUCCAGGAAACAAGACCCUAUCAAAAGAGAACAAAAAAGAGAAAGAAGCCCAAUGUCGCAGAGAGAACAUGUGCAGAUUGGCUCCUGGUUCACUCCUAACCACGGACUCUCUAAGACAUGAACACACCAGGAGCUGGACUCACUCCGGGAGGGGCACACAGUCCACUGACGGCACAGGGGAAAGGAGAAUGGCCCGGAAAUGUCACCACGAGUGGAAUUUCUACACGCAGUACUGGGGCUAACUGUAGCAGGGUUCUCAUCCAGGUUCAAGGAGAAAACAAAAUUUAUCUUUGCAAACACAGAAUACAAAAUGGUUGAGCACUACCUAAGUCAUCCAGUCUCUGAGAUAAUUUGCUAUCAAAAAAGAUAAAAUUAAAUCAUGGAUAUUUGGGUCCCUUUUCAACUGCACCCGGAUCCAAUUCCAGGGGCAUCUCUUACUGUGCUUCUUGUUUAAAAAAAAAAAAAAAAGUGAAGG